rnacentral:lncRNA from 1 species
GGCAGAUGAAUAACCAUCAUUUAACAAUAUUCCCUAUUUUAAAAGGCUGAAGCUCUAAAUUUAUAUUGUAUAUUCAAUAAAUUAUGACCCAAGGAUCACUUGCUAACUCCAAGAAUUAGCUAAUCAAUAUGUGAAAUUUAUUUCAGAAAAUUAUCCAACAAGAGAGGGCAUAAUUUAGUUGACACGCAAUAAUUUUUUUAUUUAUUUCCUCUUCUGGGAAACAUGGUACACGUAAAUAGAUAAAGAAAAUCUCUUGUAAAUCUCAAGAGAUCAUAUCAAUUGAACAUAAACGAACUAACACUCGCACGAUUGAUAGGUAAAGCAAUACCCAUAUUUUUAUUCAGUUAAACACAACAGAAAAUAAUAACAUUUUAAUUAACCAGUGCGGUCGGCAUUUCUCCCAUAUUGAGGGACAACAAGAAAAUCAAGAUCCUCGUUCGCAAUGCCAUCGUCUGAAAUGCUGAGAAGAGGAAAUAGUGCAACGACCCCCUCCGACCAACUUUUAUCUCCUGAAAAUUUAUAAUAGAAAACUUUGUCGUAAGUAUACAUUUCAAAAUUAUAAGAAUCGUAAUUCAACUGAAAAUGGCCUAAAAACCUGCGCAAGUAGUUUCCAUAUUCUUCAAAUCGAAAAGAUCUCUGCUUCGGUAGUCAAAACUCAAGAAGUAAUCAAGUUGCUUCUGCGAGUUUUCGCUAUUUGUGAAAUACACAUAUAUGGUCUAUGUAUAUAUAGACUGAAGUAGUCGACAAUAGGGCCAUGGUGGGUGAUUGGGGCGCAUUUAAUUAUUUACAAGACGAACUAACAGCAUUACAUAAUAUCGUCUUUUCUUUGAAAAUGCUCUGUUGUUUUCUGAAACAUUUUUUAAUGGCUCAGAAGCAUCUCAUGGCAGAUAAUUGAAGAUCUGUAGUCGGUGCUGGACUCGACAAACAUAUUCCUUUAAUUUGC